rnacentral:lncRNA from 1 species
AGGUUUGGUUCAUGCGUUGAAGCUGGCGAUGGGAUGCUGUGCUCCUGUUACGACGGUUAGACCGAGUAUGGAAGAGGUUGUGAAGCAGUUGGAAGAGAACAGGCCGAGGAAUAGAUCAGCGUUGUAUAGCCCUACGGAAACGAGGAGCGACGCUGAGACACCAUGCUGAGUUUGGUUUCUGUUGUUAUACAAAGCAUUUUGUAAUUCUCCCACUUUUGUUGUUGGUUAUAUGCAUUUGUUUCAUAGGAAAGGUACCCAUUCUGAUUUUGUUUUGAUUUUUAGUUUUAUCUUUUGUCAAUGACAGUGGUUUUAACAAAAGCAGAAGAAGCUAAUAUGAUGAAUCUACUUCAGUUUCGGUCUUGGGUUUUGAGGGUUAUGCUAUUAAAACUAAUAUGAAGAAACUAAAACUGCGUAUCAAGACCACGUUCGACAGUACAAACAAACUUUUUUAUAUUUCACUAUAAAAUAGUUGGAUUUGUUUUAAUGGUUCAUUCUAUGGAAUAAUGUUACUUUUUUACUCUAAAUAUAAAGUAAAACAAUAACAUUAAUCCAUAUUUUAUUUUAUUAUAUAGUGAACCAUUGAACCAAAUCUAACUCUAUAAUAUAAUUACUUUAUUUUGGUGUGAAAUAUAGAUAAAAUUUUUGUAUGCCAUUAAAAAUAUUCUAAUCAAGCAUUUAAGAGCACCAAAAGUUAAGCAUAGCAACAUAAGAAUGCAGAAACCUAUGCUUCCACUAACAACACGAAAUAGUAGAAAAAUUCGAGAAUCUCUGAGCUUACAUUGUCAAUGCAUUUACAUGGACAAAGAAUGCUAGAAUUAUUACCAGUUGCUGAGAGAGCGAAAAAGCUUCUCGAGACUGUCAUUGUUGGAUAUAUUGAAGCUCUCUCUCCUUUGUUUGCAGGAGAAAUGAGGAGAGAGC